UAUCUUAUAGUUUAAAAAAAAUAUUAAAUUGCAAAUUUAAAGAUAUAUAUAUAAAUAUAUUAAGAUUU
rnacentral:tRNA from 1 species